rnacentral:lncRNA from 1 species
AUCUACUUUCAAUCUGCUUCCUUGUAUGUAUCUUCUUCAUUCAGACUCCGUUUAGACUAAUUUUAGUCAUGUUGGAUUCUAUUUUUCAUUCUGAAGCUCAUUUUAAAUUUAUCAUGGAUCGAAUCUUAAGAUAUUUUUUUCAACAAUCUUCAUCUCGACUCGAUAUUUGAUCUCCACUUAUCUUUGAGAGCCUGUGAUCCAUCUCGCCCCA